GACGAACGCUGGCGGCGUGCUUAACACAUGCAAGUCGAACGGAAAGGCCCUGCUUUUGUGGGGUGCUCGAGUGGCGAACGGGUGAGUAACACGUGAGUAACCUGCCCUUGACUUUGGGAUAACUUCAGGAAACUGGGGCUAAUACCGGAUAGGAGCUCCUGCUGCAUGGAGGGGGUUGGAAAGUUUCGGCGGUUGGGGAUGGACUCGCGGCUUAUCAGCUUGUUGGUGGGGUAGUGGCUUACCAAGGCUUUGACGGGUAGCCGGCCUGAGAGGGUGACCGGCCACCUUGGGCCUGAGGUACGGCCCAGACUCCUACGGGAGGCAGCAGUCGGGAAUAUUGCACAAUGGUCCGACGCCUGAUGCAGCAACGCCGCGUGCGGGAUGCCGCCCUUCGGGUUGUAAACCGCUUUCGCCUGUGACGAAGCGUUACUGACGGUAAUGGGUAAAGAAGCACCGGCUAACUACGUA
rnacentral:rRNA from 1 species